GCGUGGCAAUUUGACGGCGUCUCCAAGCCGCCUCACGACCAAGCCUUUAAAAAAUGGCGCAUCGUGUCAGGCAGACUCUUCCUACAGUUUGCGUUAAAACGUGGCACACUUUCGAAGUUCAUUAUAGAUAUUACUACCAGUGUGUUAACGAACUUUGCAAAGAACGGUUUGGAUUUCAGAAAAAACUUGCGGGCAACUCGCAGCGUCUUUCUGUAGGGUUUGUGGCAGCUCAAUAGAAGCAGAUUUUUGAAGAAAAAAAAUUUCUUUUUGCAAGAAAUCUUAAGUGAGACUAUAAAUUUCUACUCUUGAGCGGGCUCUUACCAAAAAUUAUUUAG